CGGCUAGUCAAGAAGGCGACCACGUGUGCACCCAUAUGGAGGAGGCAUGCCAAAGUGAAACACGGGAAGGGGCUACCUCAUUCACUGGAAAGGAUGUUCCAUGUGGGAGUGUUCGUUCGAACCAAGAAGCAACCUAAACAGGGACUGCCUGCGGAGUUUUGAAGAACCUUGGACACCUGACAGCAUACGCUUACAGUAUGCAGCAGAUAUCUUUCUUUAUAAAGCGCAGAAGAAACUUCAACACAGAAGGCAUUCUAACGGGGUGGUGGCGUUCCCAUUCGAUAUAGACAUAUUUCGUUGGGUCUUCAAUGACUCCGGUAAAAAGACUGAUG
rnacentral:lncRNA from 1 species